rnacentral:rRNA from 1 species
UACGUAGGGUGCAAGCGUUUAAUCGGAAUUACUGGGCGUAAAGCGUGCGCAGGCGGUCUUGCAAGACAGAUGUGAAAUCCCCGGGCUACAACCCUGGGAACUGCAUUUGUGACUGCAAGGCUGGAGUGCGGCAGAGGGGGAUGGAAUUCCGCGUGUAGCAGUGAAAUGCGUAGAUAUGCGGAGGAACACCGAUGGCGAAGGCAAUCCCCUGGGCCUGCACUGACGCUCAUGCACGAAAGCGUGGGGGAGCAAACAGG